rnacentral:misc_RNA from 1 species
UUAAGUUCAGCGGGUAUCCCUACCUGAUCCGGAGAUCAACUUAAAAGAAGCUUAAUGGGAGGAGGCCUGCCAGAAUCGCGACGCAAUGUGCUGCGCACGAAGCCCACAUACCGGCUGCCAAUGAAUUUAAGGCGAGUCCACGCGCUGAGGCGGAACAAACACCCAACACAAGCAGAGCUUGAAUGAUUAAAUGACGCUCG